ACUCGAACCUGAGACAACAGCUCUGCUAAGUGCCCUUGAGAGGGUACAGUGGGGUCAGCAACAAAGCCAGACCACUAAAGAGAAAAAGAAAUAAAGGGAGGAUUGGUGAGGAGAAAUGAGAAUGAUGGGAAAAAAAAUAAUUUUUUAAACCAAAAAAGAAUCAGAGAAGAGCAGAAGUGCCUCUAGGAUAAAGCUUGGCAGGCAGUUAGGGGAAAAGGGUUGUUAACCUCUUUGAAACUCUGACUACAUUAGAAGCCUCGCAAGACAGUCGUCGCUGACACGGGCAGGGAGAGAAACGAUUCUGUCUAUUGUUCUUCUGAAUUAUAAAUCACUGACCUAUUGAUGAUUUCUAAAGGGAAAAUGACUUCAAGCUUCUUAGAGUUCCCCCAAAGCAUUCUCUAUACCCAGUAUAACACGGGAAGCGCUGCAUUUGUCUUUGGGCAUUUUAUUUGCCAUGCCCUGAAAUCUUCCAUCACCCUCUUGCUAGUAAGGGGCAGUCAGCAACAAGAAUGAGUGGAAGAGGGAGAAACCCAGAAUAUGAUGAGGACAGCAUUUCAACCAUCAGACUGUGUGUUGUGUGAUAUCAAAAGACUCUGACAAUGUUCUAGAGGAAAAGCAGCUGUGAAGUCAUAAUUAUGUUCACUUCCCACUGGCAACUAGCAAGUCCUUUAUUUUUGUGCAUUUGCAACUCACCAAGAAUAAAUAAAGUCCAUUUCCUCCUUGA